rnacentral:rRNA from 1 species
UACAGAGGGUGCGAGCGUUAAUCGGAAUUACUGGGCGUAAAGCGCGCGUAGGCGGCUUAUAAAGUCAGAUGUGAAAUCCCCGGGCUCAACCUGGGAACUGCAUCUGAUACUGGUAAGCUAGAGUUUUGGAGAGGGAAGUAGAAUUUCAGGUGUAGCGGUGAAAUGCAUAGAGAUCUGAAGGAAUACCAGUGGCGAAGGCGACUUCCUGGCCAAAAACUGACGCUGAGGUGCGAAAGCGUGGGUAGCAAACGGGAUUAGAUACCCCAGUAGUCC